rnacentral:rRNA from 1 species
GUGGGGAAUCUUCCGCAAUGGACGAAAGUCUGACGGAGCAACGCCGCGUGAGUGAAGAAGGUUUUCGGAUCGUAAAGCUCUUUCGUUAGGGACGAACGUGCUCUUUGUGAAUAAUGAGGAGUAAUGACGGUACCUAAAUAAGAAGCCACGGCUAACUACGUGCCAGCAGCCGCGGUAAUACGUAGGUGGCAAGCGUUGUCCGGAAUUAUUGGGCGUACAGCGCGCGCAGGCGGGAUAUCAAGUCUGUCUUAAAAGUGCGAGGCUCAACCUCGUGAGGGGACAGAAACUGGUAUUCUUGAGUGUCGGAGAGGAAAGUGGAAGUCCAAGUGUAGCGGUGAAAUGCGUAGAGAUUUGGAAGAACACCAGUGGCGAAGGCGACUUUCUGGACGAUGUCUGACGCUGAGGCGCGAAAGCUAGGGGAGCGAACGGGAUUAGAAACCCCGGUAGUCC